AGCUCUGGCAUAGGAGACAAGCCCUGGAUUACCAAAUCCUCCCAGUCAGGGUUCAACAGUGAACACAGGCCACUCAUCAUGGACUUAAAGCUCAUACUGGUUUUCUUUGUCCUUAUUUUAAGAGGUGUCCAGUGUGAGGUGCAAUUGCUGGAGUCUGGAGGAGGCUUAGUGCAACCUGGAAAGUCCCUGAAACUCUCCUGUGCAGCCUCUGGAUUCACCUUCAGUAGUUAUGCAAUGAGCUGGGUCUGCCAGGCUUCCGGGAAGGGUUUGGAGUGGGUCGCAACCAUUAGUAGUGGUGGUGGUAGCACGUGGUAUACCGACGCUGUGAAGGGCCGGUUCACAAUCUCCAGAGACAAUGCCAAGAACACUCUGUACCUGGAAAUGAGCAGUCUGAAGUCUGAGGACACAGCCACGUAUUACUGUGCAAAACACACACUGAGUGAAUGCUACUGUGAGCUUAAACAAAAACAGGGCUGUGGGGAACACAGGACCAGCAGGGGGCGCUGAGAGCACUUAGAAAUCUGGGUCACA